rnacentral:rRNA from 1 species
UACGUAGGGUCCGAGCGUUGUCCGGAAUUACUGGGCGUAAAGAGCUCGUAGGCGGCUUGUCGCGUCGGCUGUGAAACCUGGGCUCAACUCUGGGCGUGCGGUCGAUACGGGCAGGCUCGAGUUGGUAGGGGAGACGUGGAAUUCCUGGUGUAGCGGUGAAAUGCGCAGAUAUCAGGAGGAACACCGGCGGCGAAGGCGGGUCUCUGGGCCAUAACUGACGCUGGAGGAAGCGAAAGGCGUGGGGAGCGAACAGG